UUGUUUCUUUCUUUCUUUCUUUGUUUUCGCACAUUUAUUUAGAUUGUAUAACUCUAUUCUUUCCUGUAUGUAUAUUUUUCAUUUACUUAGAUUUAGAAAUUGCAACUAUAUAAGGCGUUUUGAAAAUAGCAACCGACGGCGUCACUGUCCAAUCAGAGCACUGUUCGUGUAGCUUACCUUCCAGCCAAUCACAGAUCUGCCAGAAAGGAAAUUGAAGCCUCGAGAUCAAUUUGGAGCCCACUGUCUGAAUGUUAUUGGUUUUCUGGCUCCCACUAAAGGCAGUGACUCAGCCCAACCAAUAAAGACCUGUCCCAGAUUGCAUGAGCUAUGAAGAAUUCCAGGAAAGUGAAUUGGGGCCUUGUGGCUAUCCGAGCCUCCCUUUGGGAGCAACUGUAAGUCAGCAUGGGAGAGAGAGAGAGAGAGAGAGAGGCUGAGAGCUACCACAGGGGAUGAGAAGGUGACUGCAGAGAUCAUAUUGAUACCACUCAGAUGCUCCUCGCUCACUCAGGCUUUUACGCCAAUACAAUUGUGGCCAGCGUGGGAUCAGAUUUUGUUCCAAGCAUUUAGCAGCGCAAUUGAUUAGGUUUAUAAAAAGUGUGUGUUAGCAAAGCCCUAGUCGGGAAGUGUUGCAUAGUGCAGGUCCAUUUUCGGUAGCACAGUGGUGCCAAUGGAAAAAUCGACUUUGGAUCUCAGGAAUACCGCAAGACCUCAUAGAGUAACACUUAACAAUCUGAAGUCAGACUCAAGUGCUUUGACUCAGACUCAGCUAGUCCUUUAACUCUAAAUGUUAUUUUUUUCCUAUACAAAUGUCAGUUUGACUUUCUUUUUGGAUCUACAUGUUAAUGUAUAGGUCUCAGAUUAUACACAGGACUCAGGAGUGUCCGACAGGAAGUGCUAAUCUUGUGCACUAAGAGUUGAUUGCCACUAGAUGGCAAGCUCUUUAUUCUGUGCUAAGC